UAUCUAUUCCUGGUACGAUUAGAGGGACCCGAUACAUUGGUAUCAGCGAAAGAAUGAGGGUGAACAUGAGGCUCAUUUUUGUCACCACCCUCGACCUGCUUUGGCUGGACACCUCGGAGAAGAAGAUGCAUGCACUGGACAAGCAACAGGCUGCCCACCAAAUCACUCGGAUUGAUUUGUCUUUAUUGGGCAAUGGAUACAGUCAAAUCAGAGGUUCACGGUAUGUGCACCAGAACUCCAGCUUUCUUUAGCCUCUUCUCCAAUCUAGAUAAUAUAUUUUUUUGUCACGGAUUCUUAUCGAAACCAAGCAGAUCACAUAAUAAACUGAUAUCUUCUUGUCUGUCAUAAAAAAUUGUGGUGUGUUUGUUCCUCGUUGGCUUUGUCUAUCAACUUUAUUACUAUUCUAGUUUCACAUUACUUAACGAGUGUUUGUGUGCUCUGGUAUUUUAUUCUGGAAUGAGAGGAUGGAAAUCCAAAGCAGAACCUCAAGGUAUGUGUUCUUCAGAAAUAGUAAGUGGGAUAUUCUUAUUCUUUUUCUUUUAUGGUUAAAUAUUCAUAUGAUGUUACUUGCAGACAUUUGAUGCCUCAUUUAGAUUUGGAUAAGCAAGUUGUUGAUAUACUUUCUUGGUGUUUGCUUUCAAAUUGUUAACGAUAAGCCCACUAGCUCUGCCUAACAAUGAUAAAAAGUAGUCACUAGAAGAAAGAAAUGAACACACAGUUUAUGACCACCACAAACUCUACAACUUGAUCUCGGACAGAGCACUAUCAUCAAAAAGGUGAGGAUAUCAUCCGAUUAGGGCCCAAAAUUUGUUCCAAAUCUAUUAUGAUACUACGGUAGGUUCCCUGUUUUUUUUUUUUUUUUGUGUGUGGUUCUGCUGCUGCUGAAAUAAAGAGAAUUUUUUCUCGUAAUAUAAUAUCCUUCUCGUUAUUUUCUGUCUGUUUAAUGAGGUCAGAUGGUCAUUUGUCCACGAAAAGACUGAUUUUGUCUGUCCUCGAGAAGACUACUCUUCUACGUCUUUUAUUUCAUGGAUUUGAUCACCACCUCGUAUUUAUCUUUAUUUUAUUUUCACGUAAUGAUAUGAGAAAAAAAAAAUUUAGAAAACAGGCUUACUAAGUGCAAUGAUGAUUAAAUAAAUCGUAUAGUAAGUCCUAAAUAUAAUCAUCCAUAAUUGUAUUUUUUUUUCUUUUUUCUUUUGUCACAAUUCUGAGGUAGAAUAAUUUUCAUAUCUCGAGCACUUUCAUUUUUCUUUUGUCUCCGCCUUUCUAUAUUGUUUGUUAGUUCUCAUCCUCUACUCUCAUCAAUGGAUUCUUUCUUGUCUUCUCUCUGUCACAGUAGAUUUAUGAAAGAAAAGAUAAAUAAAUAAUUAAGAUCGUAGUGAGAUGAGAGAAACAGAGAAGAUUCCACAGAUCCUAAAUCCAAACUCUUAUUCAUUAGCAUCGAUUCCCUGGAAGCCAAAGAAACAUACAUAUAAGGAUGACGCCACGCAUCGAUGCUUCCUUCCGUCUCUUACUACGUCUCUUGCUACAUAAGAGGUGGAGUAAAAUCCAGCGAGGAGUAACUACUCGGCGUCGGUUCAUUGCUUGUGGGAGAGAGUCAUCUCGCGCAGCUCGGCUGCGUCCACCUGCGCUCGGAGGUUGCUGGGCCUGUAGUACCCCGUCACCGGGUCCGGGACCCAAGAAUUCGACGAAGCAGAGGUGGAGGAGGAGGCGGCGGUGGUCGAGGAGUCUACCACCUUGCGCGCCACCGUUUUCUGCUCCACGGACCUUCUCACACCAGCCGCCGCCGCCGCUGCCGCAGCGUAUCCCCUCCUGGAUGAAUCGAACGGAGCAGGAGUAAGUAAUGGUCCAAUUAUAGAUUAUAGAUUAUAGAUAGAUGAUGAUGAUUGGUAUAUCAGUUACCGGUUAACCAAGAGGGCGAUGUUUUGAGAGACGGACGCAGCGAGAGCAGCAGCACUAGAGAGAGAGCGAGCCAUCUGCCCUCUUCGUUUUAUCACCUUAAUUUCUCUAGCUAGUAGAAAGAAAGAGAAGAGAUGGACGAACAGGAAGAGGUCCUUCUCUUCGUGUUGUUGUGCUCCUCUCUCUCUUUCUCUCUCUCUCCUUCUAUCCUCCCUACCUUGGCCUGUUUGGUUUGGGGAUGAAGUGAGACCGAAUGCCAAGGUGUUUAUUUAUAGCAACAGCUGUGAACCGGAAAUGGCUGUGUAUGUGUUUUGUGUGGGAGGAAACGAAGCCGUGGGGCGGGUUAUCACCCAGUAGUAUCUCUUUGGCUCUUCCGCAUCGCCACGAGCCGCUGUUUCCUUUAAUUAAUUCCCCGAGAGAGAGAGAGAGAGAGAGCUGUGUGGUCCGGAGAAUUCGACCUCCGCCAUCUUGCCUUUGAAAAAUCUUCUGCGCCGCAGCUGCUGACAGGCAGACUCCUCUGCUCAGCUGCUGACAGGCAGUCAGGUGGAUGUCAACUUCUACAAGAUAUUCCAGUGGCUUGUUUAAAUGGAUUCCCUGUCCAACUUUUUGGUUUGGGGAAGAACUCUAGAUACUAUCAAAGUAUCAAUCUAAUUGUGAUCUGAUCACUUGGUAUCGUGCUCCAUCAAUCUAACUGCUAAGAUAUAAAAUGUAGUUUGGUCGGAGACACCUGUCGAGAAAACAGAUCAUGCACUGAUUUCUUCUUGGAUUUGCAGACAAUUCAAGCAGUUGUAGAAAGAGAGAUGAGAUGAGCCGGUUGGAGAGGGGGAUUGAUGGAACCCUAUUUGUUCUACCGUCAACAAGUGGCUGGUGGAUUGAGUGCCAAGAACAUUAUCUUUAGUAUCAAAACAACGAGAGCUUUUAGGCUAGUGGAUUUUGAGUGCCACGAACACCACAUGCAAACAUUAUCCUUAGUAUCAGAACAACGAUAGCUUUUUGAGGAUGAAGAGUAUGGCAUCACUAAUUAUCUUUAUCGAGGUGUCUAAAAGUAAGUUAAUGGUAUCAUUGCGUAAGUGAUAAAUCUCAUGCAUAUUGUUUUCAUCUGACUUCUUUCCCUUUUAGUUUUGCUCUGUUCUGAUAAUAAAACUGUGGCUUUGUCUUAGAUUACGAGGGGAGAAGAAGUAGAUGCUUAAAGAGACAAGCUCCUCAAACAAAGCCAGUCAAACUUAAUUACAUGAGUAAGUCAAUUUGGUAUCUCAAGUAUAGAACACUUUGGGCUUCUCUGCUGGAGUUGGAGUAGGUCGUUUAAUCGAGCUCGUUUCUUUGCUGAUGCCAUUUGCAUUCCCAGACA
rnacentral:lncRNA from 1 species